GGGGCUCAUAGGGAUAUCCCCGCUACACGCGAACCUUUUUCUUUAACAAUCUCAAUUAUGGGUCGUCUCCAUACUCCGUCUGGUAUGAGCGCUACAUUAUUAAACCUCAAUAUCCCGUUCAGUAUAAGGGUAAAGCGGGUCGUCCCCAUAACCCGUCCGGUAUGAGCGCCAAAUUAUCAUGUCCCCAUACCCCGUCCGGUAUGAGACAACGUUUACGUUAGAGUUCUCUAUGUACCCCGUCCGUCCACCAUCUCACAGGAUAUCCAGUAAGGCUGUCGUCUUCAUCUAUUCAUUUUUCCACACAACUUUCUCACUUUUCGUUAGUC
rnacentral:lncRNA from 1 species